GAUGAACGCUGGCGGCGUGCCUAAUACAUGCAAGUCGAGCGAACGGACGAGAAGCUUGCUUCUCUGCUGUUAGCGGCGGACGGGUGAGUAACACGUGGAUAACCUACCUAUAAGACUGGGAUAACUUCGGGAAACCGGAGCUAAUACCGGAUGAUAUUUUGUACCGCAUGGUUCAAAAGUGAAUGACGGUCUUGCUGUCACUUAUAGAUGGAUCCGCGCUGCAUUAGCUAGUUGGUAAGGUAACGGCUUACCAAGGCAACGAUGCAUAGCCGACCUGAGAGGGUGAUCGGCCACACUGGAACUGAGACACGGUCCAGACUCCUACGGGAGGCAGCAGUGGGGAAUCUUCCGCAAUGGGCGAAAGCCUGACGGAGCAACGCCGCGUGAGUGAUGAAGGUCUUCGGAUCGUAAAACUCUGUUAUUAGGGAAGAACAUAUGUGUAAGUAACUGUGCACAUCUUGACGGUACCUAAUCAGAAAGCCACGGCUAACUACGUG
rnacentral:rRNA from 1 species